rnacentral:rRNA from 1 species
ACUCCUACGGGAGGCAGCAGUGGGAAUAUUGCACAAUGGGCGCAAGCCUGAUGCAGCCAUGCCGCGUGUGUGAAGAAGGCCUUCGGGUUGUAAAGCACUUUCAGUCGUGAGGAAGGUGGUAGUGUUAAUAGCACUAUCAUUUGACGUUAGCGACAGAAGAAGCACCGGCUAACUCCGUGCCAGCAGCCGCGGUAAUACGGAGGGUGCGAGCGUUAUCCGGAUUUAUUGGGUUUAAAGGGUCCGUAGGCGGAUUAUAAGUCAGUGGUGAAAUCCCAUCGCUUAACGAUGGAACUGCCAUUGAUACUGUUAGUCUUGAAUGAGGGUGCAGUGGUUGGAAUGUGUAGUGUAGCGGUGAAAUGCAUAGAUAUUACACAGAACACCGAUUGCGAAGGCAGAUCACUAACCCUAAAUUGACGNUGAGGGACGAAAGCGUGGGGAGCGAACAGGAUUAGAUACCCUGUAGGCUCU